GUGCAAAGGUAGCGCAAUCAAUUGUCUUUUAAAUGAAGACCUGUAUGAAUGGCAUAACGAGGGUUUACCUGUCUCUUUUUUCAGGUCAAUGAAACUUGAUCUGUCCGUGCAGAAGCGGACAUAUUAACACAAGACGAGAAGACCCUAUGGAGCUUUAGACGCCCACCAACCACGAAAAGCAGCCUACCUAAACAGAUGCUCUAAACAACGCGGUCCUGGUACAAACGUCUUCGGUUGGGGCGACCGCGGAGGAGAACAAAGCCUCCGAGAGGAAUGGGAACAAACCCUAAAACCAAGAGCCACAGCUCUAAGUCACAAAAAAUUUGACCGACAAUGAUCCGGCUUACUGCCGAUCAACGGACCAAGUUACCCUAGGGAUAACAGCGCAAUCCCCUCCCAGAGUCCAUAUCGACGAGGGGGUUUACGACCUCGAUGUUGGAUCAGGACAUCCUAAUGGUGCAGCCGCUAUUAAGGGUU
rnacentral:rRNA from 1 species